UACGAAGGGGGCGAGCGUUGUUCGGAUUUACUGGGCGUAAAGGGCGCGCAGGCGGCGAUUUUUGUCAGGCGUGAAAGCCCCGGGCUUAACCUGGGAACGGCGCUUGGGACGGGGUCGCUAGAGAUCGGGAGAGGAGAGUGGAAUUCCCAGUGUAGAGGUGAAAUUCGUAGAUAUUCGGAAGAACACCAGUGGCGAAGGCGGCUCACUGGUCCGGUACUGACGCUGAGGUGCGAAAGCGUGGGGAGCAAACAGG
rnacentral:rRNA from 1 species